rnacentral:tRNA from 5 species
GCGGGAGUGGUGUAACGGCAGCCACGCCAGGUUUAGGUCCUGGUGCCUUCGGGCGUAGGGGUUCGACUCCCCUCUCCCGCA